rnacentral:rRNA from 1 species
ACUGGCCUCUAAUGUGAGAGGGUACCCCCUGGAUUUAAGCAUAUUAAUAAGGGGAGGAAAAGAAAAUGAUCCCUACCCUAUUCAGUUCA